UAAUUACUCCCUCCGUCCGGAAAUACUUGUCUCAAAAAUGCAUAAAAAUGGAUGUAUCUAGAACUAAAAUAUGUCUAGAUGCAUUCAUUACUUCAACAAGUAUUUCCGGACGGAGGGAGUAUUUA
rfam:Triticum aestivum genome assembly, contig: Triticum_aestivum_CS42_TGACv1_scaffold_500844_6BL